rnacentral:tRNA from 1 species
AGCUCUGUGGUGUAAUUCACAUUGAAUUGCAAAUUCAAAGAAGCAGCUUCAAUCCUGCCGGGGCUUC